UACGGGGGGUGCGAGCGUUGUCCGGAAUCACUGGGCGUAAAGGGCGCGUAGGUGGUUUGAUAAGGGUGUGGUGAAAGCCCCGGGCUCAACUUGGGAACUGCAUUUGAUACUGUCAGACUAGAGUACAGAAGAGGUGACUGGAAUUCCCAGUGUAGCGGUGAAAUGCGUAGAUAUUGGGAGGAACACCAGAUGCGAAGGCGG
rnacentral:rRNA from 1 species